rnacentral:rRNA from 1 species
CAACUUUCAGCAAUGGAUCUCUUGGCUCUCGCAUCGAUGAAGAACGCAGCGAAAUGAGAUAAGUAAUGUGAAUUGCAGAAUUCAGUGAAUCAUCGAAUCUUUGAAUGCAUCUUGCGCUCCUUGGUAUUCUGAGGAGCAUGCCUGUUUGAGUGUCAUUA